rnacentral:rRNA from 1 species
CAGCAGCCGCGGUAAUUCCAGCUCCAAUAGCGUAUAUUAAGUUGUUGCAGUUAAAAAGCUCGUAGUUGAACCUUGGGUCUGGCUGGCCGGUCCGCCUCACCGCGAGUACUGGUCCGGCUGGACCUUUCCUUCUGGGGAACCUCAUGGCCUUCACUGGCUGUGGGGGGAACCAGGACUUUUACUGUGAAAAAAUUAGAGUGUUCAAAGCAGGCCUUUGCUCGAAUACAUUAGCAUGGAAUAAUAGAAUAGGACGUGUGGUUCUAUUUUGUUGGUUUCUAGGACCGCCGUAAUGAUUAAUAGGGAUAGUCGGGGGCGUCAGUAUUCAGCUGUCAGAGGUGAAAUUCUUGGAUUUGCUGAAGACUAACUACUGCGAAAGCAUUCGCCAAGGAUGUUUUCAUUAAUCAGGGAACGAAAGUUAGGGGAUCGAAGACGAUCAGAUACCGUCGUAGUCUUAACCAUAAACUAUGCCGACUAGGGAUCGGACGGGAUUCUAUAAUGACCCGUUCGGCACCUUACGAGAAAUCAAAGUUUUUGGGUUCUGGGGGGAGUAUGGUCGCAAGGCUGAAACUUAA